AACGCGAAGAACCUUACCUACCCUUGACAUGUCAAGAAGCCUGGUUAAGCGCUGGGCGUGCCGAAAGGAACUUGAACACAGGUGCUGCAUGGCUGUCGUCAGCUCGUGUCGUGAGAUGUUGGGUUAAGUCCCGUAACGAGCGCAACCCUUGUCCUUCGUUGCCACCCGAAAGGGGGAACUCGAAGGAGACUGCCGAUGAUAAAUCGGAGGAAGGUGGGGAUGACGUCAAGUCAUCAUGGCCUUUAUGGGUAGGGCUACACACGUGCUACAAUGGGCGUUACAGAGGGUCGCGAACCUGCGAAGGGGAGCCAAUCUUGUAAAAGCGUUCGUAGUCCGGAUCGGAGUCUGCAACUCGACUCCGUGAAGUUGGAAUCGCUAGUAAUCGCGGAUCAGAAUGCCGCGGUGAAUACGUUCCCGGGCCUUGUACACACCGCGCAUA
rnacentral:rRNA from 1 species